UACGAAGGGGGCUAGCGUUGCUCGGAAUUACUGGGCGUAAAGGGAGCGUAGGCGGAUAGUUUAGUCAGAGGUGAAAGCCCAGGGCUCAACCUUGGAAUUGCCUUUGAUACUGGCUAUCUUGAGUAUGGGAGAGGUGUGUGGAACUCCGAGUGUAGAGGUGAAAUUCGUAGAUAUUCGGAAGAACCCCAGUGGCGAAGGCGACACACUGGCCCAUUACUGACGCUGAGGCUCGAAAGCGUGGGGAGCAAACAGG
rnacentral:rRNA from 1 species